CUUAGGGUACCUUCCAACACAAUGAUGAGGAUUCGGUUUGUAAUUACAUGGCUGUUAAAGAGAGUGAUUCACAUGGAUGAAAGUUUGAUUCACUCUUUGUUAUGCUUAGUUGUGGUUAUAACUUAUGAAUUCACAUGCAAUCAUAAAAGAAAAAAAUCAGUUUUUGUAACAUGCUUGAAGGACAAUGUGUAGAGGAAACACCCCUCCAUGUCGUGGGGUUCAAUAACCUUCAAAGGAGCAUUGUCCGGCUGCAAGACGUAAAAGAAAGCGCUACUUGGGAGGCAACCCAUGCAAUUCAACAGAGGAAGACCAAGGAAUCACCCCAAUUCCAGAUUUGCGUUCCUAAACUCUUCCCUUUGUUAUUUAUUUUGAAUCUGCCUAUUUAGUUGUUUUAGUUGCUGUUUGUGUGUUUCUUUUUGUUUAGUGUGAUUUCAUGCUUGAAACAUUGAGGACAAUGUUUGAUUUAAGUGUGGGGGGGGGUAACUAAGUGUUUUAGAUGCAAAUUCGUGGGAUUUUAUCACCCUAAACUUGAAGACUUAUUCCUUGCUGUUUUUAAGUGUUUUUGAGCAGUUUUGAUGUGUUUUAGUGUGUUUUGAAGUAAAAAUCCGAAAAUUACAUAAAAAUUUGAAAAAUUUGUUUUAAAAACCCAAAAAGAGUUGUUUUUGUGUGUUUGUUUGUGUCUUAGGGUACCUUCCAACACAAUGAUGAGGAUUCGGUUUGUAAUUACAUGGCUGUUAAAGAGAGUGAUUCACAUGGAUGAAAGUUUGAUUCACUCUUUGUUAUGCUUAGUUGUGGUUAUAACUUAUGAAUUCACAUGCAAAUCAUAAAAGAAAAAAUCAGUUUUUGUAACAUGCUUGAAGGACAAUGUGUAGAGGAAACACCCCUCCAUGUCGUGGGGUUCAAUAACCUUCAAAGGAGCAUUGUCCGGCUGCAAGACGUAAAAGAAAGCGCUACUUGGGAGGCAACCCAUGCAAUUCAACAGAGGAAGACCAAGGAAUCACCCCAAUUCCAGAUUUGCGUUUCUAAACUCUUCCCUUUGUUAUUUAU
rnacentral:lncRNA from 1 species